GUGAAUGAAUUUGAAAGGGGUGUAACACUGUUCUACUUUGUUUACUCCUCAGUACCCUUGGCUGUGUACAUUUGAGUAAAGAGAGCACUAUAAAAUCAAAAACCAAUGAAAUGGUUUCCAGAACACAGAACUAUUAAGCUUAAGAAAAGGACAGAAGGAACUGAAGAGAGAGGAACUGUUUUGGAGCAUCACACUUCCACCUCAGAAGAAAUAAGGAAGGAAGGAGGAGGGUGUUCCCACGGCUCUUCAACCAGGCCGGCUCUUCAGCCUACAUCCCCAUCUCAUCAAGUAAAAGGGAUUUUUCAACUGGACCAACCAGAUGGUUUAACAGUGCACUCCCACACCAUUCAACUACGCAAGGGAGAUACACUUAACAUAUGCAGUCGUAUAACACCUACUAACAUUUUCAAACAUUAAACCUUUAAAAAAGAGUUCUAAAGAAAUAGAAGCUUGAAGUAUCAUCUCUCAAGUAUAUAGACACUACUUCAUGGUGUGGUAAUAUAUGCAUAUAGAAGCUAGUAAACACCUCCAGGAGAUGCAAAAGGAAUUAGAACUGCCACAAGGUGCAAGCAAAACCUUGAGGUAAUCAAUCUGCAUCCCAUUUUGGAUGAGAAUAUUUGCAACUUUGAAGGUUAUUUUAAGGACAGCAGCAGAAGAAUUAUGGCAGGUAUCUGAAAUUCAUUUCUGUGCUUUGCCGAGGACCCAUGGGAUGCCAUUUGCAGAUGAGAAAACUAAAGAAUAGCUUUAUCUUCCAGCUCUUCACGGAAAAAAAAAUGGCAACAAUAAAAUCAGCAACUCCUGCCAAAUAAAUGGGCAUAAAAAAGAAAUCAUAGACUGCUGGCAAUGGUGGGGAAAAAGUUAUAAAAAUUGUCUCUGCACCAUCUUCCUUUUGUCCUCUAAAAUAUUCACAUUAGCAAAAGUAUAUAACAGCUGAUGAAGAAAUACUGAUAAUUUGUCUUUCUUCUUUAAAAUAUGAAGACUUCGAAGUUAUUUAUCCAAACCAACCUGAUCAUUUCUUAAGAGUGAAUAUACCUUGGAAGACGUGUCCUGCCUUUAGUAGCGUCACAAUGGAUUACAUCCUCUAUAAAGCAGUCUGGGAUAUUCUGCCCAAUCAGAGGCUAACAUCUGCCACAAGACAAAUAUGGUGCCUGCCCCCAUGGAGCUCAUAUUCGAAUGGAGAAAAUGUCAACAAGUAUCCCACGGAGUGAACACUUCAAAAGGAGAAGCACAGGUGAGAAAAUCGAAUUUGGACACCGUUGAGGAGACUAUUGCAGUCAUCCAAGCUCAAGAUGGUGGAGCUUCAUCCUUGAGAAUAACCAAUGGGGAUAGAUUUAAGAGACACUUAGAGUCUGCAGCCAACAGGGCUGAAUGAGCAGAGAGUUAUGAUUCAGAAGAUCAUCUAAAAUUGAACAGCUGCCACUACUGGCAAUAAGUCUACUGCCAUUUGGUAGAUAACCUUCUUAUCACACAGAAAAAUAUCAGUACAGACAAAUAGACCGCAAAGAAAAUGAGACCAUCAGCAAAGAAGAUAAAGAAGUUUGUACAAAGCAACUUUUUAUAAAUGGAUGGCUGUCAGGCAAAAAUAAAUUUCCUGUGGACAAGACCAAGAGCAAGGCAAGAGGAAAAUAAACAUGUUUAAACUA
ensembl:lncRNA LINC00343 long intergenic non-protein coding RNA 343